ACUCCUACGGGAGGCAGCAGUAAGGAAUAUUGGUCGAUGGACGCAAGUCUGAACCAGCCAUGCCGCGUGGAGGAUGAAGGUCCUCUGGAUUGUAAACUUCUUUUAUCUGGGACGAAAAAAGGUCUUUCUAGAUCAACUGACAGUACCAGAUGAAUAAGCACCGGCUAACUCCGUGCCAGCAGCCGCGGUAAU
rnacentral:rRNA from 1 species